UCUACGGGUGGCAGCAGUGGGGAAUAUUGGGCAAUGGAGGCAACUCUGACCCAGCAACGCCGCGUGAAGGAAGAAGGCCUUAGGGUUGUAAACUUAUGUUGUAAAGGAAGAAAAGAAUGACGGUACUUUACAAGAAAGCCCCGGCUAACUAUGUGCCAGCAGCCGCGGUAAGACAUAGGGGGCAAGCGUUGUUCGGAAUUACUGGGCGUAAAGGGAGCGUAGGCGGGAGAUUAAGUUAAGAGUGAAAGCCUUGGGCUCAACCCAAGAAAUGCUCUUAAUACUGGUUUUCUAGAGUGUGGGGGAGGUAAGUGGAAUUCCUAGUGUAGCGGUGAAAUGCUUAGAUAUCACGAAGAACCCCGAUUGCGAAGGCAGCUUACUAAACUGUGACUGACAUUGAUGCUCGAAAGUGUGGGUAUCAAACAGGAUUAGAUACCCCUGUAGUC
rnacentral:rRNA from 1 species